UUUAGCACCUGAGAAACACACCCACAGUUAAUAAAAAGACACUCCUCAAAGCACAAAGUAAGAGCUUCACUGACAGGGAAUAGGCUUUGAGUGAAAACAAUAUGAAGGAAGAGUACAAUUGAUUUCUAUGAAAACUAUCCUCGUCUGAGUCUCAGAGAAGCAGCCUUCAUUCCAACACAGUGAUGGGCAGAGAGCUGCAGAGUCUAUCCCAGGACACCACAGCCUUCACACCAGCACAGUGAUGGGGCAGGGAGCUGCAGAGUCCAUCCCAGGACACCACAGCCUUCACACCAGCACAGUGAUGGGGCAGGGAGCUGCAGAGUCCAUCCCAGGACACCACAGCCUUCACACCAGCACAGUGAUGGGGCAGGGAGCUGCAGAGUCCAUCCCAGGACACCACAGCCUUCACACCAGCACAGUGAUGGGGCAGGAACUAUCCUCGUCUGAGUCUCAGAGAAGCAGCCUUCAUUCCAACACAGUGAUGGGCAGAGAGCUGCAGAGUCUAUCCCAGGACACCACAGCCUUCACACCAGCACAGUGAUGGGCAGGGAGCUGCAGAGUCCAUCCCAGGACACCACAGCCUUCACACCAGCACAGUGAUGAGGCAGGGAGCUGCAGUCGAGUCCAUCCCAGGACAUCACAGCCCUCACACCAGCACAGUGAUGGGGCAGGGAGCUGCAGAGUCUAUCCCAGGACACUAUGUAGGGGGUUAUUUUACAUGGUUAUAAAUCUGUUUUGCUAUAAUUCUCUGCCACUUAAUCAAUAUGUAUUGCUAUCACACAGUCUCUGCCCACUUAAUAUUUAUUUUGGGGGGAGAAAGCACGGAUAAGAUAAAUGCCAGUGCAUUCCGGUACAAAAACUAGUUUGAUGAUCUGUCUAAUCGGUCCUCUUAUCUUUCUAACAAUAAAUACAAUUUGAGUAAAUCCAACAGAAGAGGGAGCCACCCCUCAAGAAGAUCCACCAGAAGCAGCAGCUUUACCUUUUUAUACAACAAUAUGCAUGUUGUUCACCAAUUAGCUAAUUUAUCAAAGCAUCCCGCCCAAGCCAACCCUCCCUCUAACUUUAAACCAACAGGGUUUUGAGUACAUGUGGCAGGGGACCCCUGCACGGGAAAAUGGGUUUGUUUGUGUGUUUUUGUAAUUAUGUUUAAUUAAAUAAUUGUUUGCUA